rnacentral:tRNA from 1 species
GUCCCCAUCGUCUAGUGGUUAGGACACCGCCCUUUCACGGCGGUAACCGGGGUUCAAAUCCCCGUGGGGACGCCA